rnacentral:piRNA from 1 species
UGAUGGGAGGGAAAGGGUAAGCAGGGA